UUCAAAGUGUGAUCGAGGUGACCUCCCCUCCAGGACUUUGUAAAAGAUAGUUCAAAAAUCAAGACUUUAUGUUCUAUAUUCCAUAUAUUUAUAGUAGAAGGUGAUUGAGACUUUUUACUGGAGUUUACUGUGGAUUAUCCCUGCAUUCUGAGGCAAGAGAUAACAACUUCAUGAAUUGUAAAAUCAUGCUGCUAAAACUCCACUUCUAUGACUUUCCAUAUUGGGUUCCCCAGAUGUUGUAAACCUCGUUCUUAUCAAAUGUUUUCAAUUGUUUAUAUCAUCCAUGAUUCCCCUUUAUGCAAUGUCACCCACCUUUAUGGAUUCUCCUUUAUUUCCUUGAAAUCUAUCUAUCUGCCUAUAUGUAUUUGUACUCUUUGGGAUCCCCGGAAAAUAUGUAUUCUUCCCAGCAGGGUUUAUGUUCCAACUUUAUUUUAAUUUUCAUUCUAUCCCAUAUAAUUGUCAAAUCAUGAAAUCAAAUGGGAAAUAUUAUGACCCCAACGUGAACUCUAGCCCUAUGACCCAGACCUCCCUUCCCAAAAACAAAAGGAUAAUCUGCCACCGUUUAAUCCAAUCUCAUUCCGAUCGCAUGGACAAUAUAGGGUUUGAGUCACCAAAAUUCCUAAAGGUGACUCGCCCCCAAGGCAAACAUUGUCAUAUCCCAGGCCAGGACGCCUCAGGAAGGCACCCCUGUGGAGCCCGUCAAUGACGGCUCAUCACCACCCUUCUUUACUUCCCGUCUGACACCCCAAAGGCAUAUCUAAGAUCUGUGAACGUGACAGGACCCGGACAUCCUUGAUGGGUGCCAUUAAUUCCUUUAGAAAUCGGCUGGGCCAGAAUUAAUCUGAUAUUUCCUGUCCUGUCACCUCAUUGUUUCAAUAGCUCCCGCCUCCUCCUCUCUGAUUGGCCCAGGUGGGGACAAAAAGUGGCUCCCCAUUGGGCCAGCAGAGCAAGGCGGGAAACGAAAGCCCGCCUCGUUCAACCUCCCAGCCUAUCCGCGAUCAGAUGGGCGGGGAAGCGGGGCGGGAAAUUCAAAGGGCUGUCAGACCGAAACAUUGUAUAAAUAUGGCUUUAUUUGAAACAUAUGUUACGCUAGUAGAUUGAAUGAUCGCUAUUAGCGUCCUUUUCAGCUGAAUUGCUCAAUAAAGACUCCUUGGCGGAUUUUCCUUCAUCUUUGGCGGACCUUCUUCAUUUCAGGCUUCAGGUUGUAUUGCGGCUUAUAUUCUCCUUUUGGCUUCGCCAAGGUCCGUUCCCUCAGGACCGGGUCGGGUCUCUCCUAAAGGGCCCGAUCCCCUAAAGUGCGGUCGACAACAUAAUUUGGCUUUACCACGAAGGGACUUGCUUGGAAGUUCCAAAAAUCAAUUUUUUUAGGCUAAAAUUCCAAGCGGCGACCUUGGUCCAGAUAUUCUGGAACAGGUUGGGGAGAGAAACGGCUGCAAGGAGGGCCCUCCGACCAACAAUUUGACCUCAUUUCACAUCCAAAUUUCUCUGGCAGUCCCUUUCUCUCUCUAGAUCUGAUUCAGGGUACUGAACAAAGGAGCCAGAUAGGAGGAAGCAGAUUUUUAGCUCCUCGAAGGAAAGGCGCCAACGUGAAACAGGGGACGCCCUGGAAAAAAUAAAAGGGAACCGGCCCCGUUGUUAAGACCCAGGUGGGCGGAGCUCUGGAGGUAUUGCACUUCGGAUCAGGGCUCGGUAACAAAUUCCUGGUGAAACGCGGGAACAUCUGGCACCCGGUGGCGUGUGAGAACAGUCUGGCUUGUAAGAUUACAGGUUCAAGGAUCGUGGGGUAGGGGAACGAUUGUGUUCUCAGGGCACCUGCGGAUUCCACGAACGCCAGCCAUUCAGCCUUGGUGUAGGGAAACUCUUGAAAGGACGAGUUGCAUCCGGCCGGUGGGUGAGUCGUUACUCCAUUAACUGUCAGGUACUGGGCAGGGGCUGAGCCAAGGAUGGGUGUUUGUUCAGCACAUCUAGGGUGUCCCACCCCAGUAGACAUCCCCAGGGAUUCUCCAUUGGGCAAGAUCCUGGCCAAUUGGGGUGGGCUUUGCAUCGAAAAACAUGGUGCAGGCCAGGUUGGGCUAACUCAGAGCACAUAAGUGGCCCCUUGUGGCCCUUGAAGGGGGAACAGCUUGCCCCCCCCCCCCCGCUCGAGUCGCCGAAUUCGGAGUGUUGACCUAAGGUGACUCGCCAUGGGGAGGGCAGGUGGUUCCAGCUUGCUUAUGCUGCGAUGUUCAUGGCCUUAAGCCAGAGGGAGAGUGGAAGGGGAGAGGGGGUCCAAGUCUUCCCAUGCAGGGACGUGGGCUCCAAACCUACCCUCCUCAGAAGCUCCUCUCUAGACCUACUUCCCCUUACCCCCUCCUCCAGAGGAUUUUCUGGACACAUUUGCUUGCCCUCUCCCCCAAUCCCUAUCCCUACUUUUUCUCCUCACCCUGAGUCCUACACGGAUCCAGGACUCCCAAAUUGGCCUUCCAAGGGAACCCUUACUUCAGGGAUCCCCCCCCCCAAGAAAUUCCCCUCCAGAGAGUUCAGCCCAGUCUAACGUGAAGGAGGGCUCCCAGCCCCCUCCCCUCUCACCCCGAAACACACCUGAUCCAAAACACUGUUCCUCUUCUCAAGUCACACUCUCUCAGCCCCCAUCCCAGCCGUUCCUUUGAAGCCUGAUGCCCCCCCCCCAAAUUGUAUCUGCCCCUGCCACUCAACUCCUGCCACAUUCUGAGUUUUCCUCAGAUGGGAAGAAUCGCCCCACCAUCCCCCUCCUUCUCUUGCCCCCACCAGGCUCUCUCUCUCUCUCUCUCUCUCUCUCUCUCUCUCUCUCUGCGCUCAUUCCUCUCUUGGAGAGAGAGGAGAAGGAGGGGCCGCAGGGAGAUUGUGCAAAGAGGACACUUUUUUCCUCUUCCUGUUUUUGGAGGGGCAAAGGGGGGAGAAGAUUCAGUCCUGAAGCCUGCCACCAAGAUCUAUAGUUCUCCAAGGAUUGCUUCCUUCUUUCAAAUCAAAUCUUCUCCAACUUGAUAUUCUGCCUUGCCUACCCUCAAAUUGUACCCUUUUUUUCUUUUCUCUCUCUCUCUCUUCCCUGGCCUGAGUGAAAAUCUCUCUCUCUCCCUCAAAUCUCAAAUCCAUUUCUCCUCUCCUUCCUCUCUUCUCACCUUUUAAAAUCCCUUAUUUCCCUUUGUUCCCAUUUUCUAGACACUAUCCCUAAGAUUUUACCUCAGUGUUGUCUUAUAUUUUCUUUGGUCCUUACAAAAGGGGGGAGGGGGGCCAUUCCUUUAGCCGCUUCUGUUUCUUAAUUUCCCCUUUUUCUUUCUUUCCCAUCUGGGAAGCAUGGCAAAGGAUUUGGGUGGGGGAGGGGGACUCCCAGAAAAGUGUUGAUUAAAUUUUGUGUGUUUAUGUAAUGUGUGGGCUGUAAACUCUUCUCUACUCAUCCCGUUGCCUUAAAAGCCACCAGUGAUAUAUAGUUUUCUGGGAAGGAGGGCUGGAAUGGACUAGCUUAGUGCUAUGCUCUCUCUCUCUCCCUUUUCUUCUGUGCCAUCUCACCUCCCUAUUUUCAAAGGUUCAAGCCCUAAUAUUUUGUGAGACCCCCCCCCCCCCCAGAGAAAACCUGCUGCUUCUGUGGUUUUAACUUUUUCUUGUCUCUCUCUCCUCAAGCCUCCCUUAUCUUAGAGAGAAAAGGGGGGGGAUGGAAGAAUUGAUGUAUUUUUCUAUAUGUGAGUUUUUUUUCUCUCUCUCUCUCUCUUCCACUUCAUGUUUUCCUAGGCCAAAAUGCACUUCAACAUUCUCCUUUUUCAAAGCUCCCCCCCCCCUUCCUUCCCAGCAUCCCCAUUUCUCCUUAUAAACAUUCAGUCAAAAUCCUGGUUUACUUUUAUAGUAAAGGCACUCUUUCACUCUCCACAGUUCCCCAACAAUCUCCUUUCUUCCUUUCGGGUCCUUCUCCCUCCUUUUCCCUGAGUGCAUGCGUGUGAAUGUUUUAAAAAUCCCUCUAACUGCCUUUAAUUAUGAGGGGGGGCAGUACAGAGUCCAGGGGACCUUCCAGGCACAGCUGAAGAGAUCCAGAGGACCGGACCCAACCACCUGACUGAGGACAUCAGACCAGACUGCAAGACCCAUAAUCCAUACCUGCCACCAUGAACAGUUCUAAGACCUGGGUAGGGGCUCUCGGAGUGCGCUGUGGAUUUCAUGCAGCAGCUAGAACCCAGAGGCCAUUGGAGAUGGUCCUGUGAGGGUAAGCCCGGACCCCCAGUCACCCAGAAGAGACAGCCCCACCUGUGGCUGAUCUGAGACCCCUACGGGGGAAGCAGCCCCAUCUGCCUGGCUCAGGGGCUAGAGACUAAGACACUGCUGAAAGGAUUCUUGCACAUGGCAGGCUUUUAUGGCCAGACCACCGUAUGGUGCCCUCCAGCUGGCCUGGUUCUGCCCUGGCAAAGGGCUACUGAGUGCAGGUCUGCCUUUGACGCUGCCAAGGAGGCCCUCAUGACAUCACCAGGGGACAGAAUUGGCCGCCAUGGCAGAAGAUGUCCCAGAAGAAAUGAACAGGAUUCUACCAGUGACCACCAUGAGGGAAGGAUGUUCCACUUUCACCAGAGCUGUGCCAAAGAAGGACCCCAGGACUGCUGGAGCCCUCACAAGGUAUGAGUGACUUCCCUGACUAACCCCACCACGGGAGGGAGGGGGGGGGCUUAUAAUCUGUCCUUAGUUUCCCUAGGCACUCUCUCCUUUCCGUCUCCUCUGUUGGAGUGCUGGACCUGCCUGCAGUCACCAGGAGGCGCCGUGCUGUGAGGCGCAGAAGCUGUGCCCAGUUGCCCCCAGCUGCCAACUACAAAGGGGGGCCCAAGCUGCAGCCAAGAAAAGGCAGCCAAAUGGGAGUACUGCAUCACAGCCUCCAUCAUCCCCAGCCCUCACCACCUCCACCUUCAUGCUCCAUUUCCCAUGACUCCAGACCAAGGGACAUCUGUUUCAACACCAUGGGAUCACCCACCACUGACUGAACCUCAGCUUUCACCUCUUCAAGCUCCUGCCCUCCAACAAAAAGGCACAAUCUGAUCUACCAAGGCAGAGGCCCUGCAUGCAGUAAAAUGUCGGGGCUUUGGGAAAUGUUCAUAGCCAUUUCCAAGCCCCGAAGGGGGGAAAAUGUGAUCGAGGUGACCUCCCCUCCAGGACUUUGUAAAAGAUAGUUCAAAAAUCAAGACUUUAUGUUCUAUAUUCCAUAUAUUUAUAGUAGAAGGUGAUUGAGACUUUUUACUGGAGUUUACUGUGGAUUAUCCCUGCAUUCUGAGGCAAGAGAUAACAACUUCAUGAAUUGUAAAAUCAUGCUGCUAAAACUCCACUUCUAUGACUUUCCAUAUUGGGUUCCCCAGAUGUUGUAAACCUCGUUCUUAUCAAAUGUUUUCAAUUGUUUAUAUCAUCCAUGAUUCCCCUUUAUGCAAUGUCACCCACCUUUAUGGAUUCUCCUUUAUUUCCUUGAAAUCUAUCUAUCUGCCUAUA